UGGGGAAUCUUGCACAAUGGGGGCAACCCUGAUGCAGCGACGCCGCGUGAACGAUGAAGCCCUUCGGGGUGUAAAGUUCUUUCGACAGGAACGAUAAUGACGGUACCUGGAGAAGAAGCUGCGGCUAACUACGUGCCAGCAGCCGCGGUAAUACGUAGGCAGCGAGCGUUGUUCGGAGUUACUGGGCGUAAAGAGUGCGUAGGCGGCGAGCCAAGUUUGGUGUGAAAUCUCCCGGCUUAACCGGGAGGGUGCGCCGAAAACUGGUUGGCUGGAGUAUGGGAGAGNAAAGCGGAAUUCCUGGUGUAGCGGUGAAAUGCGUAGAUAUCAGGAGGAACACCUGCGGUGUAGACAGCUUUCUGGACCAAAACUGACGCUGAGGCACGAAAGCGUGGGUAGCAAACA
rnacentral:rRNA from 1 species